rnacentral:rRNA from 1 species
CCUACGGGAGGCUGCAGUAGGGAAUAUUGCUCAAUGGGGGAAACCCUGAAGCAGCAACGCCGCGUGGAGGAUGAAGGUUUUCGGAUUGUCAACUCCUUUUGUUAGAGAAGAUAAUGACGGUAUCUAACGAAUAAGCACCGGCUAACUCCGUGCCAGCCACCGCGGUAAUACGGAAGGUGCAAGCGUUACUCGGAAUCCCUGGGCGUAAAGGGGGCGUAGGCGGGAUAGCAAGUUCGAUGUGAAAUCCUAUGGCCUAACCAUAGAACUGCAUUUGAAACUGUUAGUCUAGAGUAUGGGAGAGGCAGGUGGAAUUCGUGGUGUAGGGGUAAAAUCCGUAGAGAUCAAGAGGAACACUCAUUGCGAAGGCGACCUGCCAGAACAUAACUGACGCUGAUGCGCGAAGGCGUGGGGAGCAAACAGGAUUAGAUACCCCUGUAGUC